UGGGGAAUCUUGCGCAAUGGGGGAAACCCUGACGCAGCGACGCCGCGUGCGGGAUGAAGGCCUUCGGGUUGUAAGCCGCUUUCAGCAGGGACGAGGCCUUAUGGUGACGGUACCUGCAGAAGAAGCUCCGGCUAAAUACGUGCCAGCAGCCGCGGUAAUACGUAUGGAGCAAGCGUUAUCCGGAUUCAUUGGGCGUAAAGCGCUCGUAGGCGGUCUGUUAGGUCGGCAAGUUAAAUCCGGGGGCUCAACCCCCGUCCGCUUCCGAUACCGGCAGACUUGAGUUUGGUAGGGGAAGGUGGAAUUCCUAGUGUAGCGGUGGAAUGCGCAGAUAUUAGGAAGAACACCGGUGGCGAAGGCGGCCUUCUGGGCCAUAACUGACGCUGAGGAGCGAAAGCUAGGGGAGCGAACAGG
rnacentral:rRNA from 1 species